UGGAGGACUGAGAAGGUGAGGUAGCUUUAUAACUGUGCUGCACUUGCUGGUAGUGACCUCCCAAAUUAAAGUAAUACAGCAGUGUAUUCUGUGCUGCAGCACUUCAUUGUUGCGAAAGCACCUCAUUGCUGUGUACACUGUUU